GCCAGGUGUGGUGGUGCAUGCCUGUAAUCCCAGCUACUCGGGAGGCUGAGGCAGGAGAAUCGCUUGAACCCGGGAGGCAGAGGCUGCAGUGAGUUGAGAUUGUACCACUGCACUCUAGCCUGGGUGACAGAGUGAGACUCUGUCUCAA
rnacentral:SRP_RNA from 1 species